ensembl:lncRNA
ACCCUUGUUGCUGUGAUGUGCUGGGAGAAUCAUAGAAUCAUAGGAUGGCCUGGGUUGAAAAGGACCACAAUCAUCAUCUAGUUUCAACCUCCCUGCUAUGUGCAGGGUCACCAACCACCAGACCAGGCUGCCCAGAGCCACAUGCAGCCUGGGUGAACCCCUGCUCCAUCCCAAACCUGCGCAGGCUGCCACAGGUUUUCCUCUGCGCAAAGGCUCCUGGUCUCAAGAGGGAAAGCAGAAAAAAACAGCAGAGCUUGAUUUUGCUCCAUGGCAUCCUUUGGUUUACAGAAAAUAUUGCAAUGCGAGGCUGGAUUGCCAAAGGCUGUUGGCUGCAGCCGAAGGAUACACUCAG